rnacentral:rRNA from 1 species
GACAGAGGCCUCAAGCGUUAGGCGGAAUCACUGGGCUUAAAGCGUGUGUAGGCGGAUCGUUAAGUGCCUUGUGAAAUCCCACGGCUUAACUGUGGAACGGCUGGGCAUACUGGCGGUCUUGAGCCAUCUAGGGGCGACUGGAACAAACGGUGGAGCGGUGAAAUGCGCAGAUAUCAGGAGGAACACCAGUGGCGAAGGCGGUGGUCUGGGCCGGAACUGACGCUGAGGAGCGAAAGCGUGGGUAGCAAACAGG